rnacentral:tRNA from 2 species
GCGGGUGUAACUCAAUGGUAGAGUGUCAGCCUUCCAAGCUGAUUACGAGGGUUCGAUUCCCUUCACCCGCUCCA